GCGUUAUCGUAUUACUGGGCGUAAGCGCACGCAGGCGGUCUGUUAAGUCAGAUGUGAAAUCCCCGGGCUUAACCUGGGAACUGCAUUUGAAACUGGCAGGCUUGAGUCUUGUAGAGGGGGGUAGAAUUCCAGGUGUAGCGGUGAAAUGCGUAGAGAUCUGGAGGAAUACCGGUGGCGAAGGCGGCCCCCUGGACAAAGACUGACGCUCAGGUGCGAAAGCGUGGGGAGCAAACAGGAUUAGAUACCCUGGUAGUCCACGCCGUAAACGAUGUCGACUUGGAGGUUGUUCCCUUGAGGAGUGGCUUCCGGAGCUAACGCGUUAAGUCGACCGCCUGGGGAGUACGGCCGCAAGGUUAAAACUCAAAUGAAUUGACGGGGGCCCGCACAAGCGGUGGAGCAUGUGGUUUAAUUCGAUGCAACGCGAAGAACCUUACCUACUCUUGACAUCCACGGAAUUUGGCAGAGAUGCUUUAGUGCCUUCGGGAACCGUGAGACAGGUGCUGCAUGGCUGUCGUCAGCUCGUGUUGUGAAAUGUUGGGUUAAGUCCCGCAACGAGCGCAACCCUUAUCCUUUGUUGCCAGCGAUUCGGUCGGGAACUCAAAGGAGACUGCCGGUGAUAAACCGGAGGAAGGUGGGGAUGACGUCAAGUCAUCAUGGGCCCUUACGAGUAGGGCUACACACGUGCUACAAUGGCGCAUACAAAGAGAAGCGACCUCGCGAGAGCAAGCGGACCUCACAAAGUGCGUCGUAGUCCGGAUCGGGAGUCUGCAACUCGACUCCGUGAAGUCGGGAAUCGCUAGUAAUCGUGGGAUCAGAAUGCCACGGGUGAAUACGUUCCCGGGCCUUGUACACACCGCCCCGUCACACCAUGGGGAGUGGGUUGCGAAAGAGUAGGUACUUAACCUUCGGGAGGGCGCUUACCACUUUGUGAUCAGACUGGGGUGAAUCUAACAGGUAACC
rnacentral:rRNA from 1 species